rnacentral:rRNA from 1 species
AGAGUUUGAUCAUGGCUCAGAACGAACGUUGGCGGCGUGCUUAAUACAUGCAAGUCGAGCGAGAAACGGUUCUUCGGAACCGGAGUAAAGCGGCGAAAGGGUGAGUAAUACAUAGAUAACGUACCCCUCGGCUCGGGAUAACCCCACGAAAGCGGGACUAAUACCGAAUAACGACGGAAGAGGACAUCCUCUUCUGUCCAAAGGAUUGCGAAAGCUUUCUUCCGGAGGAGCGGUCUAUGGCCUAUCAGCUAGUUGGUGGGGUAAUGGCCUACCAAAGCGGAGACGGGUAGCCGGACUGAGAGGUUGAACGGCCACAUGGGAACUGAGACACGGUCCCAACACCUACGGGUGGCAGCAGUAGGGAAUCUUGCACAAUGGGCGAAAGCCUGACGCAGCGACGCCGCGUGGGGGAUGACGGCCUUCGGGUUGUAAACCCCUUUCAUGUGGGAAGAAUAAUGACUUAACCACAGGAAGAAGCACCGGCUAACUCAGUGCCAGCAGCUGCGGUAAUACUGAGGGUGCAAACGUUGUUCGGAUUCACUGGGCGUAAAGCGCGCGUAGGCGGUUCGGCAAAUCGGUUGUGAAAUCCUCCUGCCUAACGGGAGAAUUGCUGCCGAAAAUACCGGGCUAGAGGUUGUCAGGGGCAAGUGGAACUCUUGGUGGAGCGGUGGAAUGCGUAGAUAUCAAGAGGAACGCCGGAGGCGAAAGCGACUUGCUGGGGCAAUUCUGACGCUGAGGUGCGAAAGCUAGGGGAGCAAACAGGAUUAGAUACCCUGGUAGUCCUAGCCGUAAACGAUGCACACUAAGUGGAGGGUGGGUUAACCUCUCUCUGCUGCAGCUAACGCAUUAAGUGUGCCGCCUGGGGAGUACGGCCGCAAGGUUAAAACUCAAAUGAAUUGACG